UACGUAGGGUGCAAGCGUUAAUCGGAAUUACUGGGCGUAAAGCGUGCGCAGGCGGUUGUGCAAGACAGAUGUGAAAUCCCCGGGCUCAACCUGGGAAUUGCAUUUGUGACUUCACGGCUAGAGUGUGUCAGAGGGGGGUAGAAUUCCACGUGUAGCAGUGAAAUGCGUAGAGAUGUGGAGGAAUACCGAUGGCGAAGGCAGCCCCCUGGGAUAACACUGACGCUCAUGCACGAAAGCGUGGGGAGCAAACAGG
rnacentral:rRNA from 1 species